rnacentral:rRNA from 1 species
ACGGCGUCGAGCGGCGGACGGGUGAGUAAUGCCUAGGAAAUUGCCCUGAUGUGGGGGAUAACCAUUGGAAACGAUGGCUAAUACCGCAUGAUGCCUACGGGCCAAAGAGGGGGACCUUCGGGCCUCUCGCGUCAGGAUAUGCCUAGGUGGGAUUAGCUAGUUGGUGAGGUAAGGGCUCACCAAGGCGACGAUCCCUAGCUGGUCUGAGAGGAUGAUCAGCCACACUGGAACUGAGACACGGUCCAGACUCCUACGGGAGGCAGCAGUGGGGAAUAUUGCACAAUGGGCGCAAGCCUGAUGCAGCCAUGCCGCGUGUGUGAAGAAGGCCUUCGGGUUGUAAAGCACUUUCAGUCGUGAGGAAGGUAGUGUAGUUAAUAGCUGCAUUAUUUGACGUUAGCGACAGAAGAAGCACCGGCUAACUCCGUGCCAGCAGCCGCGGUAAUACGGAGGGUGCGAGCGUUAAUCGGAAUUACUGGGCGUAAAGCGCAUGCAGGUGGUUUGUUAAGUCAGAUGUGAAAGCCCGGGGCUCAACCUCGGAAUAGCAUUUGAAACUGGCAGACUAGAGUACUGUAGAGGGGGGUAGAAUUUCAGGUGUAGCGGUGAAAUGCGUAGAGAUCUGAAGGAAUACCGGUGGCGAAGGCGGCCCCCUGGACAGAUACUGACACUCAGAUGCGAAAGCGUGGGGAGCAAACAGGAUUAGAUACCCUGGUAGUCCACGCCGUAAACGAUGUCUACUUGGAGGUUGUGGCCUUGAGCCGUGGCUUUCGGAGCUAACGCGUUAAGUAGACCGCCUGGGGAGUACGGUCGCAAGAUUAAAACUCAAAUGAAUUGACGGGGGCCCGCACAAGCGGUGGAGCAUGUGGUUUAAUUCGAUGCAACGCGAAGAACCUUACCUACUCUUGACAUCCAGAGAACUUUCCAGAGAUGGAUUGGUGCCUUCGGGAACUCUGAGACAGGUGCUGCAUGGCUGUCGUCAGCUCGUGUUGUGAAAUGUUGGGUUAAGUCCCGCAACGAGCGCAACCCUUAUCCUUGUUUGCCAGCGAGUAAUGUCGGGAACUCCAGGGAGACUGCCGGUGAUAAACCGGAGGAAGGUGGGGACGACGUCAAGUCAUCAUGGCCCUUACGAGUAGGGCUACACACGUGCUACAAUGGCGCAUACAGAGGGCGGCCAACUUGCGAAAGUGAGCGAAUCCCAAAAAGUGCGUCGUAGUCCGGAUUGGAGUCUGCAACUCGACUCCAUGAAGUCGGAAUCGCUAGUAAUCGUGGAUCAGAAUGCCACGGUGAAUACGUUCCCGGGCCUUGUACACACCGCCCGUCACACCAUGGGAGUG